rnacentral:piRNA from 1 species
UGUGACUUCCUGGAGACUCACUUCCUAGU